rnacentral:rRNA from 1 species
AUGCGUGCGAUCCUUGAGGCCGAAUACACCAGGGAGGAAGUUAAAGCGGCAUUGGAUCACAUAGGUGAUCUGAAGGCCCCGGGGCCGGACGGCAUGCCUGCGAUUGUAUUCAAACGACACUGGCAUUUUAUGGGUGAUGAGGUUGUCAAGGAGGUGCUUGCUGUACUGAAUGGUGGACAGAUUCCGGAAGGGUGGAAUGAUACGCUAGUGGUCCUGAUCCCGAAAGUGAAGAACCCGAAGAGAAUCAAGGAUCUCCGACCCAUCAGCUUAUGCAAUGUAGUCUAUAAACUUGUAUCCAAGGUCAUUGCAAAUAGACUGAAAUUGGUGCUUCCGGAGGUUAUCUCUGAUAAUCAAAGUGCGUUCGUACCCGGCAGGCUGAUUACAGAUAAUGUUCUUAUAGCUUAUGAGAUAUCUCAGUACUUGAUGAACAAGAAGAGUGGUAAGAAUGGAGUUGCGGCUAUCAAAGCAGAUAUGAGUAAAGCCUAUGAUAGAGUAGAAUGGUGCUUCCUGGAAGCCAUGUUAUGCAAGCUGGGGUUUAGCAGAGAUUGGACUAACCUCGUAAUGAAAUGUGUAAGAACUGUCCGAUACCAGAUCAGAGUUAAUGGCGAGCUUACAUCCCAGUUUAGUCCGUCGAGAGGCUUGCGGCAAGGGGACCCUAUCUCUCCCUACCUCUUUGUCAUCUGCGCGGAAGGUUUGUCGGCAUUACUAGUUGAAGCUGAGGAGAAGGGAACCAUGCAUGGUGUGAAAAUCUGUCCAAGGGCGCCGUGUGUAUCACACCUUUUAUUUGCUGACGACUCCAUGUUGUUGAUCAAGGCUGACCAGCAAGAAGCCGGUGCAUUGCAUGACGUGCUCCAGCUAUAUGAGGACUGUUCCGGCCAAAGCAUUAACGUCGAGAAAUCUGCUGUUAUGUUUAGCCCAAAUACUUCUGAUGCCGACAGUAUCUUGGUCAAAAACAAGUUGGGGAUACAGAGCGAAAAUUGGAAUGAGAAAUACUUAGGCCUACCGGUUCAUGUGGGGCGGUCCAAAAAGCAAGCUUUCAGCUACAUCAAACGCAACAUGUGUGGUCGCGUCCACGGUUGGCAGGAAAGGCUGUUAGCUAAGGAGAGUAAGGAGGUCUUGGUGAAGGCUGUGGGGCAGGCCAUACCCAUCUUUGCUAUGUCAUGCUUCGAUUUAACCAAAACCUUUUGUGCGGAACUCAACUCUCUUCUAGGCAAAUUCUGGUGGAGCCAACAGGACAAACAAAAUGCAAUGCAU